rnacentral:rRNA from 1 species
UACGUAGGGUGCGAGCGUUAUUCGGAAUUACUGGGCGUAAAGUGUGCGCAGGCGGCGCCGCAAGUCGAGUGUGAAAGCCCCGAGCUUAACUUGGGAAUUGCGCUCGAAACUAUGGUGCUGGAGUGUGGCAGAGGAAGGUGGAAUUCCACGUGUAGCGGUGAAAUGCGUAGAGAUGUGGAGGAACACCGAUGGCGAAGGCAGCCUUCUGGGCCAACACUGACGCUCAUGCACGAAAGCGUGGGGAGCAAACAGG